rnacentral:rRNA from 1 species
GACGAACGCUGGCGGCGUGCUUAACACAUGCAAGUCGAACGGAAAGGCCCUGCUUUUGUGGGGUGCUCGAGUGGCGAACGGGUGAGUAACACGUGAGUAACCUGCCCUUGACUUUGGGAUAACUUCAGGAAACUGGGGCUAAUACCGGAUAGGAGCUCCUGCUGCAUGGUGGGGGUUGGAAAGUUUCGGCGGUUGGGGAUGGACUGGCGGCUUAUCAGCUUGUUGGUGGGGUAGUGGCUUACCAAGGCGUUGAUGGGUAGCCGGCUGGAGAGGAGGAUCGGUAACACGGUCAGUGAGAAACGGUCAAGAAGCCUAAGGGAGGCAGCAGUGGGGAAUAGUGGACAAUGGGCGAAAGCCUGAUCCAGCCAGGCCGCGUGUGUGAAGAAGGUCUUCGGAUUGUAAAGCACGUUAAGUGGGGAGGAAGGGAAGUAAGGUAAUACCGCGCUGUUUUGACGUUACCAACAGAAGAAGCACCGGCUAAUUUCGUG